rnacentral:tRNA from 1 species
UCCCUGGUGGUCCAGUGGUUAAGACACUGUGCUUCCACUGCAGGGGACUUGGGUUCAAUUCCUGGCCCAGGAA